AUUCCAGCUCCAAUAGCGUAUAUUAACGUUGUUGCAGUUAAAAAGCUCGUAGUUGGAUUUGUGGUGUCACUGGCGGUUCAGGCCUUUGUUUCGUGACUGCUGUUGUGGUGCCAUCCUUGGGUGGAAUCUGUGUGGCAUUAGGUUGUCGCGCAGGGGAUGCCCAUCGUUUACUGUGAAAAAAUUAGAGUGUUCAAAGCAGGCUUAUGCCGUUGAAUAUAUUAGCAUGGAAUAAUAAGAUAGGACCUUGGUACUAUUUUGUUGGUUUGCGCACCGAGGUAAUGAUUAAUAGGGACAGUUGGGGGUAUUCGUAUUCCAUUGUCAGAGGUGAAAUUCUUGGAUUUUUGGAAGACGAACUACUGCGAAAGCAUUUACCAAGGAUGUUUUC
rnacentral:rRNA from 1 species